CGAACGCUGGCGGCGUGCUUAACACAUGCAAGUCGAACGGAAAGGCCCUGCUUGCAGGGUGCUCGAGUGGCGAACGGGUGAGUAACACGUGGGUGAUCUGCCCCUUACUUUGGGAUAAGCCUGGGAAACUGGGUCUAAUACUGGAUAGGACCAUGCUGUAGGUGGUGUGGUGGAAAGAUUAGUUUCGGUAAGGGAUGAGCUCGCGGCCUAUCAGCUUGUUGGUGGGGUAAUGGCCUACCAAGGCGUCGACGGGUAGCCGGCCUGAGAGGGUGGACGGCCACAUUGGGACUGAGAUACGGCCCAGACUCCUACGGGAGGCAGCAGUGGGGAAUAUUGCACAAUGGGCGCAAGCCUGAUGCAGCGACGCCGCGUGGGGGAUGACGGCCUUCGGGUUGUAAACUCCUUUCAGCCAUGACGAAGCCCUUGUGGUGACGGUAGUGGUAGAAGAAGCACCGGCUAACUACGUG
rnacentral:rRNA from 1 species